UACGUAGGUGGCAAGCGUUGUCCGGAUUUACUGGGCGUAAAGAGCGCGCAGGCGGUCGUUCAAGUCGCGUGUGAAAGCCCCCGGCUCAACUGGGGAGGGUCACGCGAUACUGAUCGACUCGAAGGCAGGAGAGGGUAGUGGAAUUCCCGGUGUAGUGGUGAAAUGCGCAGAUAUCAGGAAGAACACCUAUGGCGAAGGCAGCUCUCUGGGACGGUACUGACGCUGAGACGCGAAAGCGUGGGGAGCGAACAGG
rnacentral:rRNA from 1 species